GAAAAACCCCGGUUUCCGUGUUCAACGUCAACGUUUGAUCGUCCGUCUUAUUUGAAAAAAUUAUGAAAAAAAUUAAAAGACAAGUCACGCAUAAAAUAUUAAUCAUGUUUUAUCAUCUAACAACAAUGAAAAUACAAAUUAUAAAAAAAUUUCAUAUAAGACGGACAGUCAAAGUUGGACACCACCCAUAGUUUAUCUUUUU
rfam:Oryza glumipatula chromosome 11, whole genome shotgun sequence.